rnacentral:rRNA from 1 species
GGAGUUAGCCGGUGCUUCUUCUGUGAGUGAUGUCCUUCCUGCCGGUUAUUGACCCGCAGGCCUUCUUCCUCACUGAAAGUGCUUUACAACCCGAAGGCCUUCUUCACACACGCGGCAUGGCUGGAUCAGGGUUGCCCCCAUUGUCCAAUAUUCCCCACUGCUGCCUCCCGUAGGAGUCUGGGCCGUGUCUCAGUCCCAGUGUGGCUGAUCAUCCUCUCAGACCAGCUACGGAUCGUCGCCUUGGUGAGCCGUUACCUCACCAACCAGCUAAUCCGACAUAGGCUCAUCCGAUAGCGCGAGGCCCGAAGGUCCCCCGCUUUCCCCCGUAGGGCGUAUGCGGUAUUAGCCUGGGUUUCCCCAGGUUAUCCCCCACUACCGGGCAGAUUCCUAUGCAUUACUCACCCGUCCGCCGCUCGCCACCAGGGAGCAAGCUCCCCGUGCUGCCGCUCGACUUGCAUGUGUAGCNGCCGCCAGCGUCAUCUGAGCAUAAUACAACUACUGA